UUAACCCGCAAGACCGACGGCCCACCGCCGCCGCUGGGGCAAGCCCAGCCGCCGCCCACAACGCGGCGGGCGCUCAUGGGUAACAA
rnacentral:ribozyme from 1 species